rnacentral:rRNA from 1 species
GAUGAACGCUGGCGGCGUGCCUAAUACAUGCAAGUCGAGCGAACAGACGAGGAGCUUGCUCCUCUGACGUUAGCGGCGGACGGGUGAGUAACACGUGGAUAACCUACCUAUAAGACUGGGAUAACUUCGGGAAACCGGAGCUAAUACCGGAUAAUAUAUUGAACCGCAUGGUUCAAUAGUGAAAGACGGUUUUGCUGUCACUUAUAGAUGGAUCCGCGCCGCAUUAGCUAGUUGGUAAGGUAACGGCUUACCAAGGCGACGAGGCGUAGCCGACCUGAGAGGGUGAUCGGCCACACUGGAACUGAGACACGGUCCAGACUCCUACGGGAGGCAGCAGUAGGGAAUCUUCCGCAAUGGGCGAAAGCCUGACGCAGCAACGCCGCGUGAGUGAUGAAGGUCUUCGGAUCGUAAAACUCUGUUAUGAGGGAAGAACAAAUGUGUAAGUAACUAUGCACGUCUUGACGGUACCUAAUCAGAAAGCCACGGCUAACUACGUG